rfam:Triticum aestivum genome assembly, contig: Triticum_aestivum_CS42_TGACv1_scaffold_592922_7BS
AGAUAACUCGCUCCGUCCGGAAAUACUUGUAGUGUAAAUGGAUAAAAAUUGAUGUAUCUAAAACUAAAAUACAUUUAGAUACAUCCAUUUCGCUGACAAAUAUUUCCGGACAGAGGGAGUACGUU